rnacentral:rRNA from 1 species
GGGGGGGGGAGAGACUCCCAAUAGAUGAUUGGGUUGAUAGGCCAGGCGUGUAAGCAUGGUAACGUGUUUAGCUUACUGGUACUAAUAGUCAACAACUAAAAACAACCAA